rnacentral:rRNA from 2 species
ACGGCGAGUGAAGCGGCAAAAGCUCAAAUUUGAAAUCUGGCUCCUUUAGGGGUCCGAGUUGUAAUUUGCAGAGGAUGCUUUGGGUGCGUCCGCGGCGUAAGUCCCUUGGAACAGGGUGUCAUAGAGGGUGAGAAUCCCGUCUUGAGUCGCCGGCACGCGCCCGUUUAAAGCUCCUUCGACGAGUCGAGUUGUUUGGGAAUGCAGCUCUAAGUGGGUGGUAAAUUUCAUCUAAAGCUAAAUAUUGGCCGGAGACCGAUAGCGAACAAGUAGAGUGAUCGAAAGGUUAAAAGCACCUUGAAAAGGGAGUUAAAUAGCACGUGAAAUUGUUGAAAGGGAAGCGCUUGCAGCCAGACUCGAGCGCAGAGGCUCAGCGGGCAUUGUUAUGCCCGUGCACUCCUCUGCGCCCGGGCCAGCAUCAGUUUUGGCGGCCGGUCAAAGGCCCUCGGAAUGUGUCGUCCUCCGGGACGUCUUAUAGCCGGGGGUGCAAUGCGGCCAGCCGGGACUGAGGAACGCG